rnacentral:ncRNA from 1 species
CGGCUUAAUUUGACUCAACACGGGGAAACUUACCAGGUCCAGACAUAGUAAGGAUUGACAGACUGAGAGCUCUUUCUUAAUUCUAUGGGUGGUGGUGCAUGGCCUUUCUUAGUUGGUGGAGCGAUUUGUCUGGUUAAUUUCGUUAACGAACGAGACCUCAGCCUGCUAACUAGCUAUGCGGAGGUAUCCCUUCGCGGCCAGCUUCUAGUAGGGCUAACGGCCUUUUAGGCCGCGGAAGUUUUGAGGGCAAUAACAGGUCUGUGAUGCCCUUAGAUGUUCUGGGGUCCGCACG